rnacentral:tRNA from 1 species
UCCCUGGUGGUCUGGUGGUUAAGACUCUGCACUUCCAUGGCAGGCGACGCAGGUUCUAUUCCUGGUUGGAGAG